rnacentral:tRNA from 2 species
GGGCCCGUAGUUCAGCUGGUCAGAACGCGCCGCUCAUAACGGCGUUGUCGCAGGUUCGAGUCCUGCCGGGCCCACCA